rnacentral:other from 1 species
UUCCCCCUGCCUUGUGCGAUAACUUGCAGCCCAUAUUAACCCUACAAUUGUAUUUUACGGGAGCUUAUCUCCCGGCACGGAUUGCAGACCUCCCGCCCUGCGGACGAAGGGAGCGUGAACUGCCGGGGAAGCACCCACCUGCUUUAACCGCAGGUUACUAUCGGUUGUAAGCGGCUUGGCGGGGUUUCU